UACGUAGGGUGCGAGCGUUGUCCGGAAUUAUUGGGCGUAAAGGGCUCGUAGGCGGUCUGUCGCGUCGGCUGUGAAAACCCGGAGCUCAACUCCGGGCCUGCAGUCGAUACGGGCAGACUGGAGUUCGGCAGGGGAGACUGGAAUUCCUGGUGUAGCGGUGAAAUGCGCAGAUAUCAGGAGGAACACCGGUGGCGAAGGCGGGUCUCUGGGCCGAUACUGACGCUGAGGAGCGAAAGCGUGGGGAGCGAACAGG
rnacentral:rRNA from 1 species